GACAGUGGGGUUGAAGGGAGGUAAUGUCAAUCCAGAUUUGCAGAGAGAGGAAGAAAGAGAGAGAGAGCGCUCACGCGUGCGAGACAGAACGCGCAUGUUGGGGUGGGAAGGGGUGCUGCUGUCUUUGGCUGCCUUGUCUUCUCAUGCCUCCUCUUCCUUCUGUCCUUGCCUCGACCCAGGCUUUGCUCUGCCGGGCUGUGCUGUGACAUGUUUUUUUUUCCACUUGUACAUUCUGCUUCCCAAGGUGUUUCAUCCCAGAGAAACACCUGCUCCCUCUGAAGGAGGUUGCCUGAAUUAUAGAUGAGCCUCCAACAGACAAAAUGUGCUGUUUUCCUUCUUUUUCAGAAGGAAAAGAGAAAAAGAGGUAAAUGAGUGGCCAGAGUGUUUCUCUGAGCAUCCCAGGAUGAUGCAAGCCUCACUUCACUUUUCUUUGGACUCCUAGUUUGAAUCCUGAAGCCAGCCUCAGGGGGGUUGGUUGGUACUCUCUGACCACCAAUACUUUCCUGUGUUGUGGGCUUCCCCAACCCUGUUCCUUGCCCUUCCUCUUCCUCUGUGUGGGUGUGCCCUCCUUCUCCCCUGUCUCCACAUGUCCAAAUACUAUAUAUUCAAGACUCAGAAUAAAAUGCUAGCUCCUCCAGGAAGCCUUCCUGGGUUCUCAAAUUGGACAUGAUCUCUCAGUCCUCAGUCCUUUUCCUUCCUAACUUCCCUGCCUCCGAAUGUAAACAUCCUAUGAGCGGGACUCCGGCCAAUUUCCCUUUGUGAGUCAGCUAAAAGGCCCUGCUCACGGUAGUUGGUCAGGAAAUAAAGGGGAAAGGCAGGAAGUGUGGAACGAAGGGGAGGAGGGAGACUCUAUGGGCCCAGACAAGUGUCUGCUGAAUUCAGAACAUGGCAGGCUCAGCAGCCAAUUUUCUUUGCCUUCUCCUUUGUGUGGGCUUCUGGGGCUCCUAACGACAAGUCACAGCAGAGAGUCUGAAAUAUGCUGCUCUCCAGGGAGGCACCAUCUCAGGUGAAAGAGCCUGAUGGGAUCAAAAGAGUGCUAGGAAGCAAGUCAGCAGCUCUGGCUCCACGCUGUAACAACAAAUAUUUGUAAAUGAGUAUAAACAAAUGGAUAUUUGAAUAAAUGCAAACUAGCAAUACCAUCUUGGGCAAGUCUUCUUGUCUCUCUGACCCAUCUCUCAAAUGGGAACAAGGCCUGCCUGGCCUGCCCCACAGCAUUUUUGUGAGGCUCAAAUGAGAGAAUACAUCUGAAAGUUCUUUACGAACUGUAGUCGGUGGUGCUAAGGGCAUCAGGCUUGGGAGAGCAGCUCUCCUGGUUGACCGUGGAGGAGCAUUUGACUCUGAGACCUCAGGAAGUGAUUGAUUUCUCCAAGAAGUAUUUCUCAGCUUGCGUGUAUGAAAGAAUAAGCAAAAAAAAA